rnacentral:tRNA from 1 species
GAAUUUUUAGUAUACUUUUGGUAUUACUAAUUGUUGAUUAGUAGGUUUUGGAAUUCU